rnacentral:rRNA from 1 species
GACGAACGCUGGCGGCGUGCCUAAUACAUGCAAGUAGAACGCUGAAGAGAGGAGCUUGCUCUUCUUGGAUGAGUUGCGAACGGGUGAGUAACGCGUAGGUAACCUGCCCUGUAGCGGGGGAUAACUAUUGGAAACGAUAGCUAAUACCGCAUAACAAUGGAUGACCCAUGUCAUUUAUUUGAAAGGGGCAAAUGCUCCACUACAAGAUGGACCUGCGUUGUAUUAGCUAGUAGGUGAGGUAACGGCUCACCUAGGCGACGAUACAUAGCCGACCUGAGAGGGUGAUCGGCCACACUUGGACUGAGACACGGCCCAGACUCCUACGGGAGGCAGCAGUAGGGAAUCUUCGGCAAUGGGGGCAACCCUGACCGAGCAACGCCGCGUGAGUGAAGAAGGUUUUCGGAUCGUAAAGCUCUGUUGUAAGUCAAGAACGAGUGUGAGAGUGGAAAGUUCACACUGUGACGGUAGCUUACCAGAAAGGGACGGCUAACUACGUG